rnacentral:rRNA from 1 species
AGAGCGAACGCUGGCGGCAGGCUUAACACAUGCAAGUCGAGCGGGCGUAGCAAUACGUCAGCGGCAGACGGGUGAGUAACGCGUGGGAACAUACCUUUUGGUUCGGAACAACCCAGGGAAACUUGGGCUAAUACCGGAUAAGCCCUUACGGGGAAAGAUUUAUCGCCGAAAGAUUGGCCCGCGUCUGAUUAGCUAGUUGGUGAGGUAACGGCUCACCAAGGCGACGAUCAGUAGCUGGUCUGAGAGGAUGAUCAGCCACAUUGGGACUGAGACACGGCCCAAACUCCUACGGGAGGCAGCAGUGGGGAAUAUUGGACAAUGGGCGCAAGCCUGAUCCAGCCAUGCCGCGUGAGUGAUGAAGGCCCUAGGGUUGUAAAGCUCUUUUGUGCGGAAGAUAAUGACGGUACGCAAGAAUAAGCCCGGCUAACUUCGCGCCAGCAGCCGC